rnacentral:rRNA from 1 species
UACGAAGGGGGCUAGCGUUGUUCGGAAUUACUGGGCGUAAAGGGCGCGUAGGCGGUCCUGAUCGUCGGAUGUGAAAGGCCUGGGCUCAACCUGGGAACUGCAUCCGAUACGGCGGGACUGGAGUGUGGGAGAGGUUGGUGGAAUUCCCAGUGUAGAGGUGAAAUUCGUAGAUAUUGGGAAGAACACCAGUGGCGAAGGCGGCUUACUGGUCCGGUUCUGACGCUGAGGCGCGAAAGCGUGGGGAGCAAACAGG